CCCUUAGAUGUUCUGGGCCGCACGCGCGCUACACUGAUGCAUUCAACGAGUCUAAAACCUGCUCUGAUAGGGGUGGGUAAUCUUUUGAAUGUGCAUCGUGAUUGGGAUAGAUGAUUGCAAUUUUUCAUCUUCAACGAGGAAUGCCUAGUAAACGCAAGUCAUCAGCUUGCAUUGAUUACGUCCCUGCCCUUUGUACACACCGCCCGUCGCUCCUACCGAUUGAAUGAUCCGAUGAAUAUCAUGGAUCGAGGAUGCAAGUAGGUUCGCCUAUCUUCAUCUUCGAGAAGUGAAGUAAAUCUUAUCAUUUAGAGGAAGGAGAAGUCGUAACA
rnacentral:rRNA from 1 species